CCUACUGGGCGCAGCAGUGGGGAAUAUUGCACAAUGGGGGAAACCCUGAUGCAGCAACGCCGCGUGAAGGAAGACGGUUUUCGGAUUGUAAACUUCUGUUCUUAGUGAAGAAGAAUGACGGUAGCUAAGGAGCAAGCAUCGGCUAACUCCGUGCCAGCAGCCGCGGUAAUACGGAGGAUGCGAGCGUUAUCCGGAUUUAUUGGGUUUAAAGGGUGCGUAGGCGGUCCGUUAAGUCAGCGGUAAAAUUGCGGGGCUCAACCCCGUCGAGCCGUUGAAACUGGCAGACUUGAGUUGGCGAGAAGUACGCGGAAUGCGCGGUGUAGCGGUGAAAUGCAUAGAUAUCGCGCAGAACUCCGAUUGCGAAGGCAGCGUACCGGCGCCAGACUGACGCUGAGGCACGAAAGCGUGGGGAUCGAACAGGAUUAGAUACCCUUGUAGUC
rnacentral:rRNA from 1 species